rnacentral:rRNA from 1 species
GUCCCUACGGGGGGCAGCAGUGGGGAAUAUUGCACAAUGGGGGAAACCCUGAUGCAGCGACGCCGCGUGAAGGAAGAAGUAUUUCGGUAUGUAAACUCCUGUUAGCAGGGAAGAGGAAGGACGGUACCUGCAGAGGAAGCCACGGCUAACUACGUGCCAGCAGCCGCGGUAAUACGUAGGUGGCAAGCGUUGUUCGGAAUAACUGGGCGUAAAGGAUGCGUAGGCGGUUAAACAAGUUAUAUGUUAAAUAUAU